AUCCAUCUACUUGCUUUCUUUUCCCCUCAAACUGAUGCAGCAAGUUUAACAACAAAAUCGAGGGAUUUUGAUGUCAAAUACUUGCUGGCCAGAUUAAAGUUGCCGCUUGAUUGUUGAUAUGGCUUAGUUGUUUUAAUAAGGUGAUGCCUCUACACGCAUACUUGUUUGAGCCCAAACUUGGACCUCUAUUUUAUGAUUUUUCAUUACAUAUUAGAAUAGAAUUGCAUUAUAUUAGUAUCAGGACAAUUAUAUUAGAAAACUCGGAAUUUUCAUGGACAAGCAUUAUCAUGCACAUCUAGGCCAUUUAGAGUGCAUUAUUAUUAAUUAUCAUAUUUGCAUGUUUCCUCUCAUAAAUCAAAUGUUAUAAAUUGGAAAAUCUAGGAAAAUCAUAUCUUGCAUAUUUUUAAUUUUAGAUUGAAUCUUUGUUUAAAAGAAUUAAAAUAAAAAUUUGAAGUGAAACUCCGCAAGUCACGAAGAGUAUUAUCGCCUCAUUCCUGCAAUUUUUUUUAUUAGUUAUUUAUUUUUGCUCUUUUUUCUUAAACUUAAAUUUGAAAACAUAGAUAAGAAUCAGCAUAGAAAAGUUAAGCAGAUAUAAUCAGGUAUGUUCAAAAUUUAUCUUUAUUUUAUUAUUAUUAUUAUUAUUAUUAUUAUUAUUAUUAUUAUUAUUAUUAUUAUUAUUAUUAUCAUUAUUAUUAUUAUUAUUAUUAUUAUAUGUUGAUAGAUAAGAAUCAGCAUAGAAAAGUUAAUUUUUCUACAAAACACUACGAAUGUAAUCAAGUUAGUAAGUAGUCAUAGAUUAAAGUUGAAUUUCUUGUAGAAAGUUACUAAUCUUACGAAGAAUCAUUAGUCACAUAUGUACUUAUAUGUUACAUAAUUCCUUCUGAAAUCCUAGUGGAGCAAGGAAGGGUUAAGAAAGAAAUGGAAUGACAUAUAAUUAAAUUGAUACCCAUAGAAAUGUUAGACAUGCAACUAACGUGGAAGGGAAGUAAUUAGAUCCAAUAGCUAAUCAAGGUCAAGUAUCAUGCCAAAUGUUUUGCAUAAUCUUUAGUCACAUGUUGAACAAGAGAAGCUCAUGAUAAUACUCAUAAAUUUGGACUUAAUUUCAAAUGGUCGUCAUUAUAUCUACUUUUAAAAGCUUAGUUUUGACGAUAGUGAGACUAAAUUUUAUAUGAUAUUAGAGUAGGAGAUCCUGACUUCAAUUUUUUUCAAUUCCUUAUUUGCUUCUCCAUUAUAUAUUUGCAUGCUUUAGUUUAUGAUUAAGUCCAGCUUAUAUGAAAGGGCAAGUGUGGAAAGCUUUUGUUUUCCGGUCGCCUUCAGGAAAGGGAAAAGUAAGGAAAAGGGGAAAAGGGGGAAGAAAACACACCAAAUCGAUGGACAAUGAUAUGUUUCACCAUCUCUAGCGGAUUUCAAGCUCUUCGCUUGCAUAAAUGUCAACAAAAUACCUGAAAGUUUGUCUGGAUAGAGUUUUACAUUUUAUUUAAUCUAGUCUUGUCUCCGACACAUUUUUACAUAUUUUUGACUUGAAACAUAUGAAUCUUUUAUAAUACGUAAGUAUUGAUAAGUAAUUUACAUAAAAUUUAGCUGAUUCGAGCCAUCGUGAUUACCUUUUUUCGUUCUAUUUUGUAACGUCUCAUUGAUGAAACCACACACAUCAACGAUAGAAAGUUAAGAAGAAUGGAACUUAAUGGAUGGGCCACGUCAUCACAAAACUCAAUUCCCUCCCACUUCCCAUUCCAUUAAUUGUCCAUAUAAAUUUACAAUAAAGUUGGAAAAAAAUUAAUCAUCUAAUUUAAUCUAAUAUAAUUUUUCUACAAAAAUAUUAUCACCAUCAACUUGCCUUACUUAUUAAAUUGGAUGUACUCUUUUGCACAUCCGGGGGAUUUUGUAAAAGCUGAAGUUAGGAGUUGGGACCACAAUUCAGCCGGGACGUGAGUGACAUAUACUAACAAUAAAAAGUUGAACAAGUAAAAUCAUACGGAUGCAUCUUCACAAAAGAACCUUAAAGCGCCUCUCUUUUUUCUUUUUCUUUCUUCAAAUUUCAAACACAAAGUGCCCUAGCCAAAUUAUAUAAAAAAAUUGCACCAUUAAGAAGGUUAGUUAGGCAUCCACAUCAGAUGAGGGCAUUUUUUCUGACAUUGUUCAAGGAGAAUGAUUCUGCCUGCUCCUCAAUUAGAACCUCUAAGGGGUCGAAAUAGAUUGGAUUUGAGUAGGCUGAGAAGAGACAUACAUCAUUGUGUGAUGAACAUUUUCUUUCUGACUCCAAUAUAAACUGUUGAACAUACCAAGGCUUGAAAAUUUUCCACUAAAUAACCGAGACUUUGAUUUUUCGAUUCAACACCUAAACACUAGUUGAUGUGGGGUAAGGUUUGGGGUAAUGACCUCAUGAUCUUCAAAGGUGACAAGGCUUUUUAUCUUAAAAUGUUAAAUCUCUUAUUUUUAAAUAUUUUUUUCGAAAAUCCUAUUAGAGCUUUGCUUGGAAUGGGGCCAUCUACUUUAUUUAGAUCAAAAGAACUCUAUGCUUUGUGAUGGUCCUUCCCAUUCUACUAAUCAAUUGAUUAAUUUUACAAUGUUUGCCGUUAGACUUCAUAUAUGACAUUUUAUUAAAGGUGAGUAACUAGACCGGUUCAAUAUGGGAAAUGAAUGCAACACGACUAAUUUUGAAGCUGUUCACAUGGGGGCCAGUAUAGUUCCAAAUAAAAAUUCUUUGAAUCGGCCUUCAUCGGUUCACUUCUUGGUUUCAUAAUAUGAACUGGUUGUAACACCCAUGAGUCGGCCUUGCAAAGGUAGUUCUCGGGGAAAACUGGUUUUGAGCCGGGUCAAAACCAAUCCUAAAUCUUGUCUAUUUAAGCGCUGCUUUCUUUUUUAAGUUCUCACUCUCAGAUUUGGCCCCUCUCUGUGUCUCUCUAGUCAUUCGACUUUCUCCAGUGGCACUCUCAAUUUUUCUCUUUUUUCUGUCCCGUGGGCGCCGUUGCAUCUCUUCUCUGUCUUGGUCUUGCCAACGCCAUCUCAUCUCCGUCUCUCGCCAUCUUGUGGGUUUUGGGCUUGCUUUUGUAGGUCGACUGUCAGUCAGCCUACUAUUAGCGAGGUGGGUUCUUUCUUCCAGCAACUUAGGGCUUGUUUGGUAAAAAAAUGUUUAUGUUCUCCGGAACAACUAUUUAUGUUCUUUUGUUCUAGGGAAUGGAAAAAGAAUAGAAACGCGUUUGGUAAAAUUUUUGUUCCCAGAAAUAGAUUUGGAACAAAAACAAGAAGUAGAAAAAAAUAGCUUCUUGUUCUCGAGAAUAAUUUUUUUUUCUCUUCUUUUUUCUUCUCUUUUCUCUUAUUCUCUUUCCUUUCCUUCUUCUUCCUUUUGGCUAGUUGCCGACCUUGGCCAUGGCCGGCAACCAGCCGAUGAGGGCCGGCAACCUCGCUGGAGCGUCGCUAGCCCCCGACGAUGCUGAGCCAUGGCGAUGCUCAGCCUCGCAAGAUUUGGGCGAGCUUGAGCUCGCCCAACCAAGGCAAGGCUGAGCCUCAUGAUGGCCAAGCAAGCUUGCCGGCCCUCGCCCUGGCUUGGCGAGGCUCCGGCGAGCUUGCCGAACCUCGCCUAGCCGGUCGCCGGCCACCAAUGACCGGCCACAAAGGAGGAAGAAUGAGAGAAAAGGAAAAAAAAGGAAAAAAAGGAAAAAUAUAAUAAAAAUAUUUAAAAAAUUAAAAGAAAUAACAAAAUUAUACAAUUCCACCAAACGCAUUUCUUUCCCGGGAAUAGAAAUUUGUGUAAUUACCAAGCGUGUUCUUAUACUCAGAAAUUGUUCAUGGGAACAGAAAAAAAAAAAAAAAACCAUUUCUGAUCAAAAAUUAUUCUCGGAAUCAAAAUCGUUAUCAAACGCGCCAUAAUUAGAGCAAGAAAUCUCGAGUUACCAAAAUAAGUAUAAAUAGCUUAGAAAUAAUCAUUUAAUUGUUAAAACUUGUCAAUACCUAACUUCUGCCCAAAAGUGGUUUUCAUGUAUUUUUGGAAAACUGGAACAGAUUUUCCUCCCAAAGAAGAAGUUUAUUGGAAUUAAAGCAUUUUAUAAGCAUAUACCAGAAUUUCGACAAAUAGGAUUAGGUUCUUUCGAAUUUAUUCCCCAAAUAAAAUAUAAAAAAAAAAGAAAAAGAAAAGAAAAGCAAAGAUAAAAUGGGAACCUCCGAGAGAAAAACACACACGGCAGAAUUCAUCUUGGUUCUCCUGCUCCUUUCUUUAAAACCACACCGCCUCACUUUUUCUUCAUCCACCACCACCACCACCACCGCCAUCAUUAAACUCACGCCCACAGACUUCACUCUCAUUCAAUUCAUUUCUUGCAUGCAUAUCGGUUGUCGCCAAUCACCACCAUCUCUAGGCGUCGCUCAAUCAAAACCAUCGUUCGUCGUUGCAAGCAGCGACCACGCAUUGCCGUAGCUGAAUACGCACGCGUACACAGUGAACUGCCAAACCUAGCGCUCGUGCUUGCUGGAUUGCUGUUGUGGAUCUUAUCCUGUUCGCCUGGUCGGCUCCAGGAAGUCUACUUGGAAUAGGUAAAAGACAUCUUUCUACUUGCUCUCUUUUUCCCUUGAACUGAUGCAGCAAGUUUAAUAACAAAAUUGGGAAAAGUUGAUGUCAUAUACUUGCUGGCCAGAUUAUUGUUGCAGCUUGACUGCAUAAUUCAUGGUGAUUUGUUGAUCUUAAUGUGGCUUAGUUGUUUUAAUGAGGUGAUACAUCUGCACGCAUAAUUGUUUAAGCCAAAAUUUGGACCUCUAUUUUAUGAUUUUUCAUUACAUAUUAGGAUAGAAUUCAUUAUAUCCGUAUCAGGACAAUUAUAUUAGAAAACUUAGAAUUUUCAUGGACAAGCAUUAUCAUGCACAUCUAGG
rnacentral:lncRNA from 1 species